rnacentral:pre_miRNA from 1 species
AGUGAGAUAGCUGGGUAAUAUGGUGUUUCCAUUCCUAGUUUUCUGAAGAAUCUCCAUACUGCUUUUCAAAGUGGUUGUACAGAUUUGCAUCCCCACCAGCAAU